rnacentral:rRNA from 1 species
AAAGCGGGGGAUCGCAAGACCUCGCGCGAUUGGAGCGGCCGAUAUCAGAUUAGCUAGUUGGUGGGGUAAAAGCCCACCAAGGCGACGAUCUGUAGCUGGUCUGAGAGGACGACCAGCCACACUGGAACUGAGACACGGUCCAGACUCCUACGGGAGGCAGCAGUGGGGAAUUUUGGACAAUGGGCGCAAGCCUGAUCCAGCAAUGCCGCGUGCAGGAUGAAGGCCUUCGGGUUGUAAACUGCUUUUGUACGGAACGAAACGGCUCUUUCUAAUAAAGAGGGCUAAUGACGGUACCGUAAGAAUAAGCACCGGCUAACUACGUGCCAGCAGCCGCGGUAAUACGUAAGGGUGCGAGCGUUAAUCGGAAUUACUGGGCGUAAAGCGUGCGCAGGCGGUUAUAUAAGACAGAUGUGAAAUCCCCGGGCUCAACCUGGGACCUGCAUUUGUGACUGUAUAGCUAGAGUACGGUAGAGGGGGAUGGAAUUCCGCGUGUAGCAGUG